UACGAAGGGGGCUAGCGUUGUUCGGAAUUACUGGGCGUAAAGCGCACGUAGGCGGACUAUUAAGUCAGGGGUGAAAUCCCGGGGCUCAACCCCGGAACUGCCUUUGAUACUGGUAGUCUCGAGUCCGGAAGAGGUGAGUGGAAUUCCGAGUGUAGAGGUGAAAUUCGUAGAUAUUCGGAGGAACACCAGUGGCGAAGGCGGCUCACUGGUCCGGUACUGACGCUGAGGCACGAAGGCCAGGGGAGCAAACGGG
rnacentral:rRNA from 1 species